rnacentral:lncRNA from 1 species
UUAUUAGAUAUGCUCUAAGUUCACACGAAGCGAAAACUUCCCUCUCUUAGUAUUCACCUCGCUCUUUGCGUGGGAAAUUUGGUGAGGCACUUGUGCGAGUUGAUACCGAGGGUUUUGUUAACUUGCAAAAUCAAAUAGAAAAGGAACGAAUGCUGCUCUUUUACUCUCUAUUUACUUUCCAUAUAUUGUGUUAGUGUUUGGUGGGGUUCAAUAAUCAAAAAUGCGGAUAACAUAAGUUAAUAUUACUGCACUUAAUGUACUGAACUUUAUUGAUGACAAUUUGCGCUCGCGGCAUAUCCAUUCGGUGAGCCAUAAUUCAAUUUAUGGCCCAUGGCAACCUCAAAACCCACUUUAGAGCCGUACCGAGAUACACUUGGCAAAUAUAAGCAAAUAUAAAUAUAAAUCAACAUUCCGCAGAGAACCAUGUCUAGAGGCACGGGUGGACUGGGAUAGCUGCCAGGGAAAAAGGGAAAGUGAAAACUGGUCAGAGACCGGAUGACCGGGCAAUGGUCAGCGAUAAUAUCUGGAAACUUUGCCCCCACUGCAGUGGGGCCAGAAGAGCCACAGAAUGUGGGACACAUGCUGGGGCGAUGGUGGUGCGGCAGCCAUAGAAGUGGCUCAAUGAGACCCACUUGAACCAAAACCCCAACAAAUGCGGCUGCGGGACAAUGAUAUUUAGUUAUUUAGAAAACCGCAGAGUGCAAAAUGCCCGCCGAAUGUGCCAAUUUCCCACUCCCCCAUCGAUGGGAAACAAUUAAAAAUUCGUGUCAAAAUACGAACGCGAAGAGGUGGCAAGAAUUUUAAAUGCAUUUCAAGGUUUCUCCACCACACGCAAUGUGGCACAGCGAUUGCAUGUGGCAUGCACCCAGCACCAUCAGUCAUUUGAAGGGUUGGGUCUCAUUUAGCGAAAAUUAAUUUUAAAUUACACAUACGCCGUGGUUUCCCAUCCAUCAGCAAGUGGCUCCCUUUAAUUAAUUGCAUUCGGUCCACGCGAACGUUUUUUCUGCUUCUCACUUAAUUAUAAUAAACAAUUUUGAGCACUUUUGUCAUUUUGCACUGGCAUUAAAAAAGGCAACUGAAACUGUCCCGGGGUCAAAUAACUACAGCUCGUAUGCCACAUUACGUAUACGCCAUGUAUUUUUAAACAACGUCAGCGGAGAGGCAAGCAAAGCACAAACAACUCGGAGCCGAAAACGUGAAAUUGUGCAACAAAUAUAAU